GCGGCUGUAGCUCAGUUGGCUAGAGCGGCUGCUUGCCAUGCAGCAGGUCGAGGGUUCGAGUCCCUUCAGCCGCU
rnacentral:tRNA from 1 species